GCAGGCAGAUCACAAAGUCAGGAGUUUGAGAUCAGCCUAGGCAAUAUGGCGAAACCCUGUCUGUACUAAAAAUAUAAACAAUUACCCAGGCAUGGUAAUCUCAUCUACUCGGGAGUCUGAGGCAAGAGAAUUGCUUGAACCUGAGAGGCGGAUGUUACGGUGAGCCAAGAUCAUGCCAUUGCACUCCAGCCUGGGCAACAGAAGCAAAACUCCAUCUCAAAAAAAAAAAAAAAAGAUAAUUUAACAGUGGAUAUAUGUCAUCAUAUAUUUGUCCUAACUCAAAGAAUAUACAGC
rnacentral:lncRNA from 1 species